rfam:Oryza sativa Japonica Group DNA, chromosome 2, cultivar: Nipponbare, complete sequence.
AAAAAGGCAAACCCUGGGUUUCCGUGUCCAACUUUAACUGUCUGUCUUAUAUGAAAUUUUUUUAUAAUUCGUAUUUUCAUUGUUGUUAAAUGAUAAAACAUGAUUAAUAUUUUAUGUGUGACUUGUCUUUUUAAUUUUUUUCAUAAUUUUUUUAAAUAAGACGGACGGUUAAAUGUUGGGAAUCACGGUUUGCCUUUUU